GUCAUACACAUUUGCUACUGAAAUCAACAACCUCAAUGCCUAUGGUGCUAAAAACACAUGGUGGGCCCUUGCUCAUGGGAUGUGGAAAGUGCACUGGAUUUGAAAUCAGAACAUCUGGCUUGGGGCUUGGCACUCUGCCCCUGCUGUGUCUUAUUUCCCACCAGGGCUUUUGUGAAGAUCAGAUGAGAUUAUUGAAAUUGAGUGUACUGGUAAAACUGAAAUAUAGGUGUUAAGAAUAAGGAGUAUGCUAACGAGAAAGAUGAACAUCAUUGUUUCCCCGACUGCCCAGACAAUUUUCAC